CAUGCCGCGUGUGUGAAGAAGGCCUUCGGGUUGUAAAGCACUUUCAGUUGUGAGGAAAAGUUAGUAGUUAAUACCUGCUAGCCGUGACGUUAACAACAGAAGAAGCACCGGCUAACUCCGUGCCAGCAGCCGCGGUAAUACGGAGGGUGCGAGCGUUAAUCGGAAUUACUGGGCGUAAAGCGCACGCAGGCGGUUUGUUAAGCUAGAUGUGAAAGCCCCGGGCUCAACCUGGGAUAGUCAUUUAGAACUGGCAGACUAGAGUCUUGGAGAGGGGAGUGGAAUUCCAGGUGUAGCGGUGAAAUGCGUAGAUAUCUGGAGGAACAUCAGUGGCGAAGGCGACUCCCUGGCCAAAGACUGACGCUCAUGUGCGAAAGUGUGGGUAGCGAACAGGAUUAGAUACCCUGGUAGUCCACACCGUAAACGCUGUCUACUAGCUGUUUGUGACUUUAAGUCGUGAGUAGCGAAGCUAACGCGCUAAGUAGACCGCCUGGGGAGUACGGCCGCAAGGUUAAAACUCAAAUGAAUUGACGGGGGCCCGCACAAGCGGUGGAGCAUGUGGUUUAAUUCGAUGCAACGCGAAGAACCUUACCUACACUUGACAUGCUGAGAACUUUCUAGAGAUAGAUUGGUGCCUUCGGGAACUCAGACACAGGUGCUGCAUGGCUGUCGUCAGCUCGUGUCGUGAGAUGUUGGGUUAAGUCCCGCAACGAGCGCAACCCUUGUCCUUAGUUGCCAGCCUUAAGUUGGGCACUCUA
rnacentral:rRNA from 1 species